rnacentral:rRNA from 1 species
UACGAAGGUGGCAAGCGUUGUUCGGAUUUACUGGGCGUACAGGGAGCGUAGGCGGUUGGAUAAGCCCUCCGUGAAAUCUCCAGGCUUAACCUGGAAAGUGCAGAGGCGACUGUUCAGCUAGAGGAUGGGAGAGGAGCGCGGAAUUCCCGGUGUAGCGGUGAAAUGCGUAGAGAUCGGGAGGAAGGCCGGUGGCGAAGGCGGCGCUCUGGAACAUUUCUGACGCUGAGGCUCGAAAGCGUGGGGAGCAAACAGG